AAUGAACGCUGGCGGCGUGCUUAACACAUGCAAGUCGAACGGUAACAGGAGGAAGCUUGCUUCCUUGCUGACGAGUGGCGCACGGGUGAGUAAUGCAUAGGUAACGUGCCCCUUAGUCUGGGAUAGCCACUGGAAACGGUGAUUAAUACUGGAUACUCCUUCUUCCUUAAUGGAAGUUGGGAAACUUUUUGGCUAAGGGAUCGGCCUAUGUUGUAUCAGGUAGUUGGUGAGGUAAUGGCUCACCAAGCCUAUGACACAUAGCGGGUCUGAGAGGAUGAUCCGCCACACUGGUACUGAGACACGGACCAGACUCCUACGGGAGGCAGCAGUGGGGAAUAUUGCACAAUGGACGAAAGUCUGAUGCAGCAACGCCGCGUGGAGGAUGACACAUUUCGGUGCGUAAACUCCUUUUAUAUGAGAAGAUAAUGACGGUAUCAUAUGAAUAAGCACCGGCUAACUCCGUGCCAGCAGCCGCGGUAAUACGGAGGGUGCAAGCGUUAUUCGGAAUCACUGGGCGUAAAGGGUGCGUAGGCGGUUUGAUAAGUCUGAUGUGAAAUCCUAUGGCUCAACCAUAGAACUGCAUUGGAAACUGUCAAACUAGAAUACUGAAGGGGCAGAUGGAAUUAGUGGUGUAGGGGUAAAAUCCGUAGAUAUCACUAGGAAUACCGAAAGCGAAAGCGAUCUGCUGGGAAGUUAUUGACGCUGAGGCACGAGAGCGUGGGGGAGCAAACGGGAUUAGAUACCCCGGUAGUCCACGCCCUAAACGAUGAAUGCUAGUCGUCGGAAAGCUCGUCUUUUCGGUGAUGCAGUUAACACAUUAAGCAUUCCGCCUGGGGAGUACGGUCGCAAGAUUAAAACUCAAAGGAAUAGACGGGGACCCGCACAAGUGGUGGAGCAUGUGGUUUAAUUCGAAGAUACGCGAAGAACCUUACCAAGCCUUGACAUUGAUUGAAUCCCGUAGAGAUACAGGAGUGCUAGUUUACUAGAACAUGAAAACAGGUGCUGCACGGCUGUCGUCAGCUCGUGUCGUGAGAUGUUGGGUUAAGUCCCGCAACGAGCACAACCCUCGCCGUUAGUUGCUAACAGUUCGGCUGAGCACUCUAGCGAGACUGCCUUCGCAAGGAGGAGGAAGGUGAGGACGACGUCAAGUCAUCAUGGCCCUUAUGGCUUGGGCUACACACGUGCUACAAUGGGGCGUACAGAGAGUUGCGAUACCGCGAGGUGGAGCUAAUCUCAUAAAGCGUCUCUCAGUUCGGAUUGGACUCUGCAACUCGAGUCCAUGAAGCUGGAAUCACUAGUAAUCGUAGAUCAGCAAUGCUACGGUGAAUACGUUCCCGGGUCUUGUACUCACCGCCCGUCACACCAUGGGAGUUGAUUUCACCCGAAAUCGGGAAGCAAACCUUCGGGAUGCUACCGCUUACGGUGGAAUUAGCGACUGGGGUG
rnacentral:rRNA from 1 species